rnacentral:rRNA from 1 species
GACGAACGCUGGCGGCGUGUUUAACACAUGCAAGUCGAGCGGUAAGGCCCUUUCGGGGUACACGAGCGGCGAACGGGUGAGUAACACGUGGGUGACCUGCCCUCAGCUCUGGGAUAAGCCUGGGAAACUGGGUCUAAUACUGGAUAUGACUCCACGGUGCAUGUCGUGGGGUGGAAAGCCUUGUGCGGCUGAGGAUGGGCCCGCGGCCUAUCAGCUUGUUGGUGGGGUGANGGCCUACCAAGGCGACGACGGGUAGCCGGCCUGAGAGGGCGACCGGCCACACUGGGACUGAGACACGGCCCAGACUCCUACGGGAGGCAGCAGUGGGGAAUCUUGCGCAAUGGGCGAAAGCCUGACGCAGCGACGCCGCGUGAGGGAUGACGGCCUCGG